rnacentral:sRNA from 1 species
CCGCAUUAGUGAUUGCAGCGGCAUCCUUUUUUAUGUCAUUUGGAUUUUAAAUAUAUAAUGGCAAAAUAUCCGGGGCAUAAAAAAGACAUAGCGGAAAGCACGGCCACUU